ACGGCUACCUUGUUACGACUUCACCCCAGUCAUGAAUCACACCGUGGUAAACGCCCUCCCGGAGGUUAAGCUAUCUACUUCUGGUGCAAGCCACUCCCAUGGUGUGGCGGGCGGUGUGUACAAGGCCCGGGAACGUAUUCACCGCAACAUUCUGAUUUGCGAUUACUAGCGAUUCCGACUUCACGGAGUCGAGUUGCAGACUCCGAUCCGGACUACGACGCGCUUUUUGGGAUUCGCUCACUAUCGCUAGCUUGCAGCCCUCUGUACGCGCCAUUGUAGCACGUGUGUAGCCCUGGCCGUAAGGGCCAUGAUGACUUGACGUCAUCCCCACCUUCCUCCGGUUUAUCACCGGCAGUCUCCCUUGAGUUCCCACCAUUACGUGCUGGCAACAAAGGACAGG
rnacentral:rRNA from 1 species